rnacentral:rRNA from 1 species
GACGAACGCUGGCGGCGUGCCUAAUACAUGCAAGUCGAACGCUGAAGGAGGAGCUUGCUCUUCUGGAUGAGUUGCGAACGGGUGAGUAACGCGUAGGUAACCUGCCUGGUAGCGGGGGAUAACUAUUGGAAACGAUAGCUAAUACCGCAUAAGAGUAGAUGUUGCAUGACAUUUGCUUAAAAGGUGCAAUUGCAUCACUACCAGAUGGACCUGCGUUGUAUUAGCUAGUUGGUGGGGUAACGGCUCACCAAGGCGACGAUACAUAGCCGACCUGGGAGGGUGAUCGGCCACACUGGGACUGGGACACGGCCCAGACUCCUACGGGAGGCAGCAGUAGGGAAUCUUCGGCAAUGGACGGAAGUCUGACCGAGCAACGCCGCGUGAGUGAAGAAGGUUUUCGGAUCGUAAAGCUCUGUUGUAAGAGAAGAACGAGUGUGAGAGUGGAAAGUUCACACUGUGACGGUAUCUUACCAGAAAGGGACGGCUAACUACGUG